rnacentral:pre_miRNA from 1 species
GAUGAGAUUACUGAGUCGUAAGGUAAGAGUGUUUUAGUUUUGUAGGAACUACCAAACUGUCUUCCAAAGUGGCUGUACUACUUUGCAUUCCCAAUAGCAGU